rnacentral:rRNA from 1 species
UACGGGGGGAGCAAGCGUUGUUCGGAUUUACUGGGCGUAAAGGGCGCGUAGGCGGCCACCGCAAGUCGACUGUGAAAUCUCCGGGCUUAACUCGGAAAGGUCAGCCGAUGCUGCGGGGCUAGAGUGCAGAAGGGGCAACUGGAAUUCUUGGUGUAGCGGUGAAAUGCGUAGAUAUCAAGAGGAACACCUGCGGCGAAGGCGGGUUGCUGGGCCGACACUGACGCUGAUGCGCGAAAGCCAGGGGGGCGAACGGG